rnacentral:misc_RNA from 1 species
AACGCACCUUGCGCCCUUUGGUAUUCCGAUGGGCAUGCCUGUUCGAGUGUCUUGAAUUCAUCGCCGCCUCCGGUUUCGCGACCGGCUGGCGACGGACUUGGGGGCCUGCCGCGGCGACGCGGCUCCCCUCGAAUGCAUCGGUGGGGUCUCCGAGCACCCACGGGCGUUGUAUUGUCCUCGUCCGACCGGGCCUCGCGUCCCCCGCCUCGACCGCCGUCCGAGCGGCGGUCAAGCACACUUUGAAAUCUGACCUCGAAUCAGGUAGGACUACCCGCUGAACUUAA